UUUGCAGAUGCGUGGAAGCAGACGACAGAAGCGCGUGCAGCAACCCUCGCUCUCAUGUAUCGGGCCACAAAUUCCAUCACUCCUUCUGCCACCAAAAGCAGCGCAUUAGAGAGUACAUCAGCCCUGAUGCAGCUGUUCGACCGAAUCAGCUUCCGCGAGGAGGAUCUCUAUUUGGACUUUGUCUUUCUGAUCGCGCUUCACAUGUGCUACAGGAUCGGAUCCUUCUUCCUGCUCAUUGCCAGGUCCUACAACCGUCAAUGACGUCACUCCGUGUACGAAGAUCGCCAACAUCCUCCUCGUCCAUCUAGGAACUGUCCUCAUCUAACCAUUCCGCACACGCACCCGUUUACUGUACCGAUUAAACGAUUGCAUAUCAGCGCA